CGAAGGCAGAAGGUUCGCCGGCCCCCGGGCGGCCCCGGCCAGUGUGCGGGCGCAGCGCUGCGCGUCGGAAGCCGGGAGCCCGGGGCCCUGGAGCCGGGGCCGCCCAGACCGAGCAGCCUUUCCCUGCUCCCCGGCGAGGCCGGGGCCCGGGCCCGAAAACAUGAAUUACCUGGCCCCCAUCGUCACCAGCUGUGUUCGUACCAGGACUGUGCCAGGGAUCAGGCGUCUACGCCUGCGUUCAGACCCG
rnacentral:lncRNA from 1 species